rnacentral:lncRNA from 1 species
GUCAGAAAGACUCCCCUUGUCCUAUGGUCUGUCAUCGUCGGCAUCAGAAGUCAGCUACAUACUCCAGUACUGUAGAAAAGAGACACAGCUCUGCUCAGGGCAGGAUGCUCCCUCAAGGCACAGAGACAGGCAGAGUGGAAGUCUCCAAGGACUUGUAAGUUUGGGUCUUCUUUGUCACUGGGCAAUGUUUCAGGGAUGAAUGGUAGUCUCUACUGUGAAAAGGGGCCUUCAUCUGCCUUGGGCUUGCUAGCCCCAUUCAGCCAGCUCACAGCCCACCUCUACUCCCUGCUCUGAGCGAGGCAUGGGCAGGGAGCAGGGGUAUACUAGGCCUUGUGAGCACACCAGAGAGGGGCACUGGGUAGAAACUGAGGGAGCUGGGGAUGUCUUCUAGCCAAGUCUGUCUGUCCAGCCCACAAGGAGUAGAGGCCUCCCUCCGGACAGGCCAGGGGCCUUUGGUUGAACAUCUGGGCUGGCUUUGGGAGUUGCUGGGGGAGGGGUCGUAGAGAGGAAGAAGGAACCUUCCAGAAAAAGCACUGGAAAGAUAGAGAAAUAGGGUGGGGUCUCGGGCAUAGUGGGCCGGGAAAGGAUGAGAAGUAAGCUAAGAGGCUGGUAGGGAAACUUGGUGCUUUCCGGCAGGGCACACCAUCAGACGUCACAGGACAUUAGCAUUCAUGGUCCUUCCCCAUGGGCCAGGUAGCUGACAGAUUACCCAGUAACAAGUGGCAGGUUCCCCACAUGAGUCGAUCUAGUCAAACAAGGCUCCUGAG